GACGAACGCUGGCGGCGUGCUUAACACAUGCAAGUCGAACGGAAAGGCCCUGCUUUUGUGGGGUGCUCGAGUGGCGAACGGGUGAGUAACACGUGAGUAGCCUGCCCUUGACUUUGGGAUAACUUCAGGAAACUGGGGCUAAUACCGGAUAGGAGCUCCUGCUGCAUGGUGGGGGUUGGAAAGUUUCGGCGGUUGGGGAUGGACUCGCGGCUUAUCAGCCUGUUGGUGGGGUAGUGGCUUACCAAGGCUUUGACGGGUAGCCGGCCUGAGAGGGUGACCGGCCACAUUGGGACUGAGAUACGGCCCAGACUCCUACGGGAGGCAGCAGUGGGGAAUAUUGCACAAUGGGCGGAAGCCUGAUGCAGCAACGCCGCGUGCGGGAUGACGGCCUUCGGGUUGUAAACCGCUUUCGCCUGUGACGAAGCGUGAGUGACGGUAAUGGGUAAAGAAGCACCGGCUAACUACGUG
rnacentral:rRNA from 1 species